rnacentral:rRNA from 1 species
AACGUAGGACGCAAGCGUUAUCCGGAGUUACUGGGCGUAAAGGGCAGGCAGGCGGGUCGAUAAGUCGGAUGUGAAAUCUCCCUGGCUUAACCGGGAGAGUGCAUUUGAGACUGUCAACCUGGAGGGCAGCAGAGGAGCGUGGAAUUCCGGGUGGAGUGGUGAAAUGCGUAGAGAUCCGGAGGAACACCAGAGGCGAAAGGCGGCGCUCUGGGCUGCACCUGACGCUGGAACUGCGAAAGCCAGGGGAGCGAACGGG